AAAGAGUUAGCAGAACUUGUUUAAUUUCCGGCAUGAAAAAGAGCUCCCAUGAUUUAUCUGGUGUCAUCAGCUCUAGACUGUGAGAGCAGUCACACCCGGGGCGGCUCAGACACACAGAGUGCUGAGUGGUUUUCCUGCCCGUCUCCAGGUGCCCCCAGUAUCAACAACAGGCCCACAACAGUGAUUUUUUAUAAGCAAAACCUUCUUCAAAACUCAGCAAGUUCCCAAUACAAAGGCUGUAACGCCAGAGCCCAGGGGUCUGGUGAAGUGGAUGGUCCCUGACUACCAACAGGCCGUCUCAGCUUCAGCAGCAUCCCUGAGGGAGCUGUGCGCUGAGAACAUGGCUGCACGCACGACAGAAACAACGUGCGACUGACACAGAAGCACGUCCUUCCCUCAGUGCCAGACCGAUGCUGCACACCGCAGAGCUACCGACUCGCCUCUGGCGGGCGUUCGGAUUCAAAGUGCACUAAGACUUGGUGAAGACCCUGUCAAAAUGUAAAACAAUUUUUUUUUCUUUUGGAAAAUGUGCAUGGAUUGAUGCAUAUAAUGGCUAAAGACCCAACCAACUGCUGUUUCUAAAAUUUUAAUUAGAAUCCGUUUUGUUGUUCUAAAAUGAAAUAUCUUGUUGGAGUAAAAGACUUUAGGACUUGAUGACCCGCAGAGGGAGGCCCUGACCACCAGGCCUGGGCUCUGCGAUCAAUGCUGCCCACAGGGAGGCUCCGCCCUCCCAGCCUUGGCGGCCUGCCUCGUCCUUCGCAGCCAGGGCUCAGUCCGGAAGGUCUCCCAGUCUGAUUAGCACAUUACCCUUUCAUUAGUACAGAUUACUAGGACAGACAUACGUGGCAGGCCCUGGGACAAGUGCACAACCUACAAAACUCUCCUUCCUGCCGGGUGCGGCACAGACGUGCUCCGUGUUUUAUCCCUUUGGCUCCUUCUCCCCGGUAAGAGCCUGGCACGGCCACCGCGGCGCCCGUCAGGCUAUCCCCGCCCUCCCGUGGACCGCGUAAGAGCAAAUACGACUUCGGAGCACAAGGCCUGGCGUUGACAAAGACGACAAGGGAACCGACCAAACGUGUCUCAGAAAAGACAGCAAGACCCUCGUUACCUGUCGCCAAAAGGGCAAGGACCUGAGGGACCUCGGAGAAGAGAAGGGGGACCCUGUUCAGGAGGAACAUGGGGUGACCCUCGACAGGCAGUGGCAGCUGAGAGGCUGUAAGGGGUCCCGAUGCAAUGGCAGAUGGGCCAGACUCCAGAACAUUCCUGGGCCCUGGGAGGGACGCCAGCUCACGGGUGCAGCAGGGAAAUCACCGAGCCCUAAGGACUUCCUUUAGAUGGACCUGCUGUGGGCGUUUACAGCAGACCCCUCUAAAGGAAGGACUCCACUGGCCGGCACCCCUCCGCCCGAGGUUAGGCUUUCUUAAGGCAAACACACCUAGCUCCACUUCCUCCUCCUCCUCUCCUGGCUACAAGUGAGCUGAAGUCUGAAAGGAAGUAGAAAUAUUAUUCUCUCACCCAUCAAACAGUAAUCACCUUG